rnacentral:rRNA from 1 species
UACGUAGGGGGCUAGCGUUGUCCGGAAUCAUUGGGCGUAAAGAGCGUGUAGGCGGCCAGGUAGGUCUGGUGUGAAAACUCGAGGCUUAACCUCGAGAUGUCAUCGGAAACCAUCUGGCUAGAGUCCGGAAGAGGAGAGUGGAAUUCCUGGUGUAGCGGUGAAAUGCGCAGAUAUCAGGAAGAACACCAAUGGCGAAAGCAGCUCUCUGGGACGGUACUGACGCUGAGACGCGAAAGCGUGGGGAGCGAACAGG